GCAUAUCUAAUGAAAGUCCUUAGUAUUAAUUGGCCAAAAAAUAAAUCAAAAAAGACUGAAAUUACUAAGGACGUCCUUAGUUAAGAAGUUUUUGAACGCGUCCUUAGGGAGCACGUGGCAAAAGACGAUAGGUUUAACGAUGGGACAGGAAAAAGUCGACGAAGUGAAGCAAAAUUGGUUCCUCUACGACGAAUUAAAUCGACGCCUGCUUUCCUCCUCGACGAUGAUUCAGACAUCGAUGGCGACCAAAGUGUAUAUCGUAAUACUUAUACUGUUGAAGGCGUUGAAGCCAAGCUAUGACAGCUACUACUCAGUCAUGUGGAGUCAUUAGCUGAAGAGAUAAGGAAGGGAGCUGCUUCUGUUGAAGGCGUUGAAGCCAAGCUAUGACAGGAGAAAGGGAUUGACUUUCCAGAAGUUUGUGGUAUUAGUACUUGUUGAAAAUUAAAAUAAACAGCUUGUUGUAAAACACAGGAUAAUUAAAGCUGCAUAUGUAAAGAACAUGCUCUUGUACUCGUCUCUUAGCUGGAGUGUUUUGGAACAA